CUCAACGUGAUUGCUCUUCUCUGCUGGGAAACCAUAUUUCUUGUCCAGAAAGUGUCUCCAGGCUACUCUGAGACAGCGUGGGAGGUGAGCAGAAUGGCAGGCAGUGUGGAAGCUGUUUGCAUCUUGGCCCUGUGGCCUCUGCUCAGUGAGCCAGAAGGAGCUGCAUGCAUCAGUGGGAAGAAAUAUUGAAUUACUUCUAAGAAAAGUAUGGGAGAAAUUAGUGGACAAGACGCUGUGGUGACUACGAUGCUGUCAUGGACCCUCAAGAUGGAAACAGACUGGAUUCCUGACAAGAAGGCAGCUUCUCCUGAGAGCCCUUUCACCUGCACACGUUUUUAGGGAAUGGAUAAGAAAUUCUGUCAAUAAGCUUCUGGGAUUUGGGGGUUACUGUGUUAACCCAGUAUAAACUAGCCUAUUUCAUAAAUGUAAAAAUAUAGGAUUUCAACUGAUUACUAUGUAAGAAGGAAUAAAAUAAAGAUGACUAUUAUUUUAGGUAAAACA
ensembl:lncRNA